rnacentral:rRNA from 1 species
UCAGCUUGUUGGUGAGGUAACGGCUCACCAAGGCGACGACGGGUAGCCGGCCUGAGAGGGUGACCGGCCACACUGGGACUGAGACACGGCCCAGACUCCUACGGGAGGCAGCAGUGGGGAAUAUUGCACAAUGGGCGCAAGCCUGAUGCAGCAACGCCGCGUGAGGGAUGACGGCCUUCGGGUUGUAAACCUCUUUUAGUAGGGAAGAAGCGAAAGUGACGGUACCUGCAGAAAAAGCACCGGCUAAC